AAGAGUUUAGAGGCUUCGGCCUACUACUCCACCCUUUGUUUACAAUACCUUUGUUGCUUUGGCAGGCCCGUCGAAAGGCAGCUGGCUUCGGCUGGUUAGCGCCUGCCAAAGGACCCAAAACUCAUGUUUAAAUUAUUGUCUGAGUACUAUAUAAUAGUUA
rnacentral:misc_RNA from 1 species